GUAGGUGGCAAGCGUUGUCCGGAAUUAUUGGGCGUAAAGCGCGCGCAGGUGGUUCUUUAAGUCUGAUGUGAAAGCCCCCGGCUCAACCGGGGAGGGUCAUUGGAAACUGGGGAACUUGAGUGCAGGAGAGGAAGGUGGAAUUCCACGUGUAGCGGUGAAAUGCGUAGAUAUGUGGAGGAACACCAGUGGCGAAGGCGACUUUCUGGCCUGUAACUGACACUGAGGCGCGAAAGCGUGGGGAGCAAACAGGGAUUAGAUACCCUGGUAGUCCACGCCGUAAACGAUGAGUGCUAAGUGUUGGGGGGGUUUCCCGCCCCUCAGUGCUGCAGCUAACGCAUUAAGCACUCCGCCUGGGGAGUACGGUCGCAAGACUG
rnacentral:rRNA from 1 species